AAUAGGGGACGGACCGGGGAGGAGCUACAGAGAGCGGGAGACGAGAAGAAAUGGCGUCAAGAGUCAAGGAAGACAACAAAACUAUCUUCUAAACAACUCAACUGUAACCCGCCUUUAACCCACAGCCGUCGGAGUUGACUGGCAGCCCUCCAUGCUCGUGUUCCCGUGCAGAGGGAAGAACAGUUGGCGCCUCUCAAUAACUUAUAGCUCCAGUCAGGACGACGCAACAGUCUGCCGGAAUUUCAGUUCACCUGCCUGACCCCGUCGUCCACCUGAGGCGGGAAAAAAGGCAGCGGGGACGCGAGAGCGACGCACUGCGAACGACGCACGGAGGAGUAUGAAAAAUUGAUCAGCGUUUCCAUUUGAAUCCAAGGAGAGGAUGGAGGGAUGAAGACACAGUCCUCCUCACACGCGUCCAAGGUGUGAAAGAACGCGGCAGGCCAAGAGGAGGCAGCCCGGAGGAGUCCAACGGCGAGGAGCAGCCUGAG